AAAGUGGAGAGUUUGAUCCUGGCUCAGAACGAACGCUGGCGGCGUGCCUAACACAUGCAAGUCGAGCGAGAAAGGGGGGGCAACCCCCUGAGUAGAGCGGCGCACGGGUGAGUAACGCGUGGGUAACCUACCCCCCGGCGGGGGAUAACCACUCGAAAGGGUGGCUAAUACCGCAUGAGACCACGGGGUCUUCGGACCCUGAGGCCAAAGGCUGCAUCGGCUUGCCGGUGCAGUCACCGGAGGAUGGGCCCGCGUCCGAUUAGCUAGUUGGCGAGGUAACGGCUCACCAAGGCUACGAUCGGUAGCUGGUCUGAGAGGAUGAUCAGCCACACUGGAACUGGAACACGGUCCAGACUCCUACGGGAGGCAGCAGUGAGGAAUAUUGCGCAAUGGGGGAAACCCUGACGCAGCAACGCCGCG
rnacentral:rRNA from 1 species